AUGAGUUUUUUGCAUCAAUUGAUGCUAAUUAAAUAGGCCCGUGUCCGUUUUUUACGAAAUUAGUAGCACCAUUGCUGUCUAGCAGUCAGUCCCGAAAAAUGGUGCGAAAUAAUUGGGGGAAUAGGUGCAACCCGCAUCAGUGGGGCAUAUUAUCCCGUAGUAAUUUACAUCCCAUUUUGCAAUCAGUGAACCUCGAAAAAGUAUCAAUAUUCUGUAUCAAUUUUCCUCAUUUCUGCUGCACCAAUAGUGCAAUUGUUUCUAAUAUAUCUGGUUCUUUCCAUUAGUGAAACUCGAAAAAGUGUCAAUAUUCUGUAUCACUUUUCCCCAUUUCUGCUGCACCAAUAGUGCAAUUGUUUCUAAUAUAUCUGGUUCUUUCCAUUAGUGAACCUCGAAAAAGUGUCAAUAUUCUGUAUCAAUUUUCCCCAUUUCUGCUGCACCAAUAGUGCAAUUGUUUCUAAUAUAUCUAGUUUAUUCGCUUCUUCGGUACGAUUGGUGAUCGUCAUACGUACAUUUAACUUCAAAUUACUUGCAUGAUUCUACACAACACCAACUGGGUUUCGGCUCUCUAUAAGCCCAAGACAGGUCGCUACUCCCGUUCAUCAGGUAACCAACCAGGUUACGACCCAGUGCGAUUUCUAUUUCUCUUACAUCGCAUCUGGGCCCUGGUAAUGUCAACAUUACCAGACCAUUUGAAAUGAUAAUUUUAUUUCUAUUUAGACUCUUUCAUCUAUUUCAAUGUUUGUUUGAUCUGGUGAAUAACGUGAUCAUAGCUACAGUACAUAAGUUUUAGAAUGUUUCUCCAUGACAUUUUUUUUUGCUCCCAUGUAUGUAUAUGCACAUAUUGACUAAGAUUAUCAAAAUUAUGUACCAACUUAUUUUUUAUUCUUAUUGUUUAGUCUGUCAUUUAAGUAUGACAGGGCGAGCUACUUCUACCGCUACAACGGUUUAUUACAGGGUUCCUAUGUGUGAUAAGGGCCAACAUCACACAAAUUCAUGUGAUUUUUGUCAUAAAAGUCUUUGAAACAAUAUGAGUUUUGACACCAGCUACAUUUUAUAAAAAAGAGGCCUUCACAAGAAGGUAACACGCACUGUAUACCAGAAUAUGUAAAGCAGACUGAUUUUACAUUAGCGAAUGUUGGCUUCUCAUCCUCGAUCCAUAGCCCACUUGAAUACCAACAAUACUUUAUCAUCGGUAUAAAUGAUGGUGCACUUAAAAGAAAGUGAGCAAGUGCGAUCAACUUUAAAAUAAAUAGUUUAGCUUGAACUUCAUUCUUGUGGCAUAGUGCAUUGUAGUGAUAAAAUUGUUUCGAUAAGUAUUUUAAUUCUCGGUGAAAAUAGGUGUCCAAUGGCUGAGCAACAUCAGUACAAUUCUCUGGAACGAAUUUCACUGUGAGUGCCGGCCAUCCAUCAUCGGGAUUAAAUUUCGACUCAUACAUUUGAAGAAAUGUAGCAACUAAAGGCCUGCUUAAUUUGCCGGACUUGCUAGCGGUGACAAACAGGUUUGGAGCAGAAAACAGUGUCUUCUUGACUACUGGUCCAAUGGUGCCACUUGCCUCCUAGAGACAAGUUAGGGAUUUUGAAACAUUCGGUGUGAAAAUUUAAUUAGUUAAAUUUACCUGUAAGCAUACAAAUACUUUUGGUAGAAUUCUUCCUGCGUAGGUAAUAGUAUACUGUACUGUAUACGAGUGGGUCACCUUAUUCUUUGGGGAUAUCGCCGAACCGAACGUUGACCUCUCGCCUUUCCAAGACAACGUCCUAUUCGACACAAUCUCGUAUUUGAAACCAGUUUGGUCCGUGUUCCAAACUAACGUCGGGUCAUGAACAGAAAUUAGUGGUUGCAUUUCAUUCCUGAACUCUUCAGCCAUGAGACCUAUUUGUUCCAUAUCACGAAUGGAAGACCUGUUCACUAGUUUUUGGAUUCUUCUUGAAGAAAUCCGGUUUCUACUUCUAAAUCGAGCAAUCCAACUAUCUGACGCCUUGAAUUUGAAACCUGGAUAUUCAUUAGCCUUCGAUACUGCCCAGCGCCGCAGAUCCAUACUGUGGACCGAUCGGAAUUCUUGGCGAGCCUCGCGAAAGAGUUGUAGGACAUGAUGCUCAAUUUCCAUAUAAAUAUCGAAGUUUGUUCCGCCUUAAACAAAAUAUCCUAGGUAAAUCAAUUGAAAAAAGUUACGAAAUAAAAAAACUCAUCUCAAAGUUUACCCAUGCGUAUUUGACUUUUCCAUCUUUGCAAAUAAUUACGAUGUUUGACCUUCUUAAAUUUGUUCUGGAAUGUUAAGAAUUUCCACGCCGGAUUGCUUUCAAAUGCAUUUAUGGCUCUUUUCUUGUAUUCCAUAUCCACUUUGUCUCGUUUAAUUGGCUCUCCUUCUUCAUCCUCGUAGUCAUUUAGCGC